rnacentral:pre_miRNA from 1 species
AUUAUACUCCCUCCGUUCCAAAAUACUUGACUUCCAUUUGUCAAAAAAUGGAUGUACCUAUAUACUAAAACAUGUCUAGAUACAUCUAUAUUUUGACAAAUGGAAGACAUGUAUUGUGGAACGGAGGGAGUAGCUC